ensembl:lncRNA
CACGGCACUGCCGAACGGCCGCGCACAGCGCACCGCAGCGAGGGCCCGGGACCGUGCGGGCCGCGGAGGACAGAGCAGCCGUGAGGAGAGGCAGCGGGGCCGGCUGAUGGAGCUUUUAAUUGGGGGCGGGAGGGGGGGGAGUGGGAGGGAAAGGAAAGGAAGGUCCUCUGGAAAUAUCUUCCGGGAUUAGAACGAGGAGCGCUGGACUCCCAUCUCGAUGCGGCCCUGUAGGAAAGCGCUGCGGGGACCGCGAAAAAGCUGCUCGGAAGGACCCACGGGGCUGAAAACGGGGAUUGGAAAAGAAAAAAAAAAAAAAGUAGAUGGUGUGUGUGACAAAAAAAGCUGGGUGAUUCUGUUUUCUCAUGCCCUCGCUCCUCCACCAGCUGCACAGCCAAGCGCAGGCUGCUUGGCCCUUAUAACUAUCUUGGCACGGAGUCAAAAGCUGAUAAGCAUUUGGGCGAGACAGCUCAACUGCUGUGCUGGAAGAAAAACAGCUGCCAUGAUUUCUGUUUGAUUGAGAGCGCUUACACACACGCACAAAAAACACAUCGGGCUGCAGAGACGGGCCACGAAUGCCUGAGGAUUCAGCUUCAGAAGAGCAAUGCACGUUUCCUUAAGGGAAAGAAAAAAAAAAAAAAAGUUUUAUGCAGUUUUGCCUCCGUUCCUCCUCCCCUUUUUAAGGAAAAUGUACUGCGUAGACUCGCUCCUCUCCUUCCCAUCCCCCUCCAUAACCUCAAGCAAACUCGAGGAAUUGUGCCAAAAGUCCCGUUGCUAGUUACUGAGUGCGUUUUUUUCAAACGUCCCUUUGAUACUUCUUCCCCUUGUGCUUGCCAUGGAAUAUGCAACUCUGUAAGAAUGUCACACAAGAGGCAGCGCUAUCCCAGCUGGAUAAUUCAUGAGCCGAAAGCAGAGAACGCCAUUUUGAGGCUGUCACACAUUUCUGUGUCCAAAGUGGAUAACGCCUGCGGAAAGCAUAAGAAUGAUAUUCUCAUGCUGCAGAAAAAGGUAACAAUGCAGUGCCACAGAAAAGUACCAUUUUUACUUUUACAGGUGCGACUGAGGUUUGUCUUGUAUUUUCUUGUAUUGAAACCCAUAUAUGUAACUGUACAAUACACAGCUAUCUGUAGCCAUGCAGCACUUUGAAACUUCAGUGUGUUGUUUUGUUUUGUUUUGUUUUUUUAAUCUAAGUACUCAAAGGAAAGAGGCAGAAGAAGAGACUUUACCUGAAGUCAACAUGGGCAAAUAAGCAUUUACUUCAAAUGGCUGUUGUCGAGUUACAAUGGCCCUAAACCAUUCAUCUGUCAGUCUGGUAUUUAGAAAAAAGCUAAAUCAAUAAUUAAAAAAAAAAAAAAAGAAUAGAUUCAGGAAUUACAUGUGAAGCCUGACCAAAACCAUGCUCUACAGGAUAGCUUUAUAACUUUUUAUUUCUUCUCCCCUUAGAAAUAGAGCAAACCAUUGUCCAAAGGAUCAGAAAAAUCUGCUUGUAAUAGAAACAGCUUAAUAUUCAAGGCAGAACAGGCAUGUGUGUAAUGGUUGCUUAACUGGGGGGAAAUGCUUUUCAGUGUGAAUGGUUCUUACUUCGUCUUCACUUCAGGGGUCACAUUUGGAAACAAUUCUGAUAAAGCAAGUUAAGAAAAAGUAAUGCAGGAGUUCACUUCUCUGAUUUCCUAAUUUCAGUAGCAUCUUUGUCUAGGAAAUAAGAAAGGUCUUGAAAAGACUAAAACAAUGUUUGGGUUUAUCACGUAUACUAACUGGAAAAAUCACUCACAGAAGCAGUAAUGCUGAGGACUCACGUUGACACAGUAAAAUAGACUAUGCCCCGCUUACUCUUUUCAUGCAAACUUUGCCUGGGACAAAGCUCUUUUCAAACUGUUUUGUUGUUGUUGUUUUAAACAAGAUGAUUAAAUAAGCAGUAAGUUGGGUGGGGGUAAUGUCUUUGCUACAAAUACCUUGAGAGUCUAUACUCAAAUAUAUCCAAAGCAGAAAAUCUCAUAAAGGCUCCACUCAGUAAGAAGCUUUUAGAAGUAGCACUUUUACUACCAUAUUAUCUUAUUGUAUGUUGAAGUAUUUAACACAGAGAAAAAAUAGCUUUCCUUUCAUAUGGACACAUAGUGCGUUUUUAUAAGGUUCCAGUAUUUUUCUGAGGAAAAAGUAUUUUAAAAUUUGAAAAUUAGUGGAAUGUUCCCUUCAUUUUCAUUUUCAUCUAAGCAGCUAUCCACAUUUUAAAACUGUCCUAUAACUCUUCAGCCCCAGAGCAAGCACAACCCCAUCAAUGCUUUAAAGCAAAUGAAAACAAAAACACAAAAAUCAACCCCACAAGAAAAAUAAAUGCAACAGACAUUGCCUUGACACUUUGUUUAGUGUUUUAAUCCUGCAGGUAACAAAAAAGCAACACCAGUACUGAAGAACACAUGGUGAAGUGGAUGGACCUCGUAUUUUCAUUACUAUAUGUACUAAUGUUAGCUAAUGAACAUAAGUGAAGAAUAUACACAUGCUAAACUGACAUUAUCAUCUUUAUUGGAUAGUGGAUAUAGUAAGCAUAGCUUUCCCCUCUAUCUUCUAUUAAAAUGUAAAGCAAGUAGUCUUGGCGAAUUUCAAGUAACGAAUAAAGGAAACAGGAGUGUCUAUUUCAGUAUUGCUGUAUUCAGUGUCCCUUGCUACUGACAUACUAACUUUGUGCCCUUCUUGCUUGGCUCAGCUUUAAAUGCAAGCUUUCAUUAAAAUGGAAUGACAUUGGAGUUGCUUGGCCACUUUUUAAAAUGUUAUUUUAUUAAUAUUUUAAUAAUAAAUAAUUAUUUUGCUAUAUUACAGAAUACAUUUUUAAAUCUACAAGUAGACAACUGGAAAUGUUUGUUUAAACAGCAAAUAAAAUAAGAGAAAGAUGUUAACUUUUUAAUUGAAAUGUCUGGAAUGCCAAGUAAACAAAUUAAAAUGAAGAGAAAGAGAGACAGAAACAGAAAAGACUGCUGUCUCACAGAAAAGACAAUUACAGUACCCUGUAUUGAGUAAAACCAUAUUUCAGCGUGUAAUCUGAAGCAGCCUAAAAGGAGCUGUAAGAAACAUGCAUGUGGACACUGCAGCAAACGGUAUUAGCAGUGCUGUUCCCUAAGCCAUAAGGAAAACCCACUCUGAAAUCUGUUAUACCAAAAUGGUAGUCCUUCAGGGAUUUAUUGUGGCAUAAAAAGUGGGAAAAAUAAAAAUCAGUAUGCCCUGAAAUGCCCAAGAGCUGACACCUACUGUAAUGCACAUUUUUACCUUGAUGCUGUGUUUACAUCCAUUUAUGUUCACAGUCUUAUGGAGCCCCAAAGCUUAGUACCAUAGUAUUACUUAUUUCUGUGAUGGCACUGUUGUGAGUUUCCCUGUUCACAUACAGGCCACCUGUGCUCACUGCUUACCCUGCUGGGUUUUACACUGCUUGCCUGUCAUCAGCAAUUAUGAGCUUUUUUUCUUUUUUUUUUUCAUUGGAUAGAAGGAAGGGUGGUGGAAAAGAAGUAUUUUGACUGAAGAUAUGUUUGCAGUUCAAGUAAUUGCUUUAUGAUCUAUCAUUUCAUAGAUUUUAGUGCUGAGCAAAGAAAAGCAUGUAGAAAUGAAAAAUAAUAAACAUCUUUCAGUGAAAUGUGAUGGUUUUCUAUUGUGAAUUUUCCAAAUAAUUUAUCUCAGAUAUAACGUUUAUGAAUGUUCAGUGGUCACAACAAAUAAAAACGAGAUGCAUCACAUUGUGCCACCAGUUAUUUCUAAAGCCAAACAAAAACCCCACCCAACAAACCAGUUUGUUUCUUUUUAACAUAGAAUUAAUUAUAAAUGAGAAAUUCCCAGCUCAGUCUGGCUUUGUACCCCUCAAUUAUCAUAUCUGGCUUCACAUUUGCUAUAUGUGUAUAUUUAUGUCAUGCAGUGCUGGUAGAAUGUGCUGAAAAAGGUGACGAACACAAUCUGAUGGGACACAGCAUCACGUUUCCUUACAAGCUGAAUUUCAGCGCUUGUCAACUGUAAUACUCUGAGACGCAGCUAUGACCUUGGAGGCCCAAGUUCAAUGCUGCGAUUGCCACAGCGUUUUUCUUUUAGAAGAGAAAAAUCCCGCCAUUUUCUCUCACAUAUUGCUUCUUCCCUUGGAAAAGUCUAUUAAGAGCUGGGGGGGAAUUAAAAAAAAAAAAAAAAAAGAGGAAAAAAAAAAGAAAAACGAGUAAAGACAGCACGCAGCACGAUCUAGUUCUCUGUGGUGGCAGGCCCAAGCUGCGCGCUCUCCUCAGUGAGGUCCGGGCGCGGCGGCCACCAGCAAGCAGGGAGCUGAGGCCUUCACUCCUCCGGUAUGCUGCCAUUCUCCGCCAGCACGCGCCGAAAUUAGUUCUCCAUUUUGUGGUGGCCCUUGGAGAGCAAUUCCCAUUGAGCGGGGAACAAAGGCCGUGACCCCGGGGUCAGAGUGUAAUGCAGGAAGCAUGACCUCCCCUUUGUUCACAACAGCACUGUUUACUCUGCCUAAGUAAAGAUCACCAAUACAUUAACUAAAGAGGAUUAAAAAGGUCAUAUCCCCAGGGAUGGAGCUCAUGCAAGUGGCAACUCUCUUCAGUCACUAAAUCAUUCCACUUUUUCUUUUUUUUUCUUCCACUUCUUCAAACAUAGAGACACCUUCAGCCGCCAAGGCUCAAUGGCAUAUUAUUUCCUGAGCAAAAAUACAUACAAAAUCCAUGUAGUCUUCCUCCCAAAACCAGGCUAAUUGCUGCACAGUUAUUGAACUGUUUUGAAGUUAUCAAAACAUUUCAAGUGAAAACUACCACCUCAGAAUGCUUUGUUUUCAACAUUUCUGGGAAAGUUCUAAGCUGAUUUAUAAUAUUGUUUGGGUCUUAAAACAGUUUAAAAACUGUAAUAUUUUGUAGAUAUCAUAAAUGUAAAUCUUAAAAUAUUUCACAGUAUACAAAUAUGCAGGAAAAAUACCUGAUGCUGGAGAACAUAAUGGCCAGCUCCAGGAUUUUCACUGGUAAAAAAGAAACAGAGGAAAAUAAAGGAAAAAUAUGCUGCCUAUUAGAAAUGAUGCAUGCCACUAUCUGGGCUUAAUCAGGUUAAAUAAGCACUUACUUUUGCUGUUAAGCUUUCUGUUAGCAACUCGUUUACAGUAUCCUGGGACAAUAUUAUUAAUAUGAGAUUUAUCAACAGAAGCAAGGCUUCAUGUGUAGGCUUCCUUAUCUGUGGUGAUACUGCUUACCAGGAUCUAAGUGUUAACACCAGUUACUCAGCCAGGAUGGGAGGAAAAGAGCAUGUGAAUUGAGUGGCUUACACUAAAAUAUCUUCCCCUCUACCAUCAGGCAGGUGCACUUCUGAAGAAGCUAAGCAUUGCUAGGGGCUCCAGAAGAGAAUAUGAUUAAGGCCAGGCAGGGGUGCCAUGCUGACCAAAGUCUUUGGAGCAGGGAGCUUAGUACCACAGACAGACUCCUCAUGGGCUAGAUGCAGUUGAAAGCGAGCACUAGAUUACCCAUGUCAGCAGACUUUCUAAGGAGGCCCAGGAGUGCCAGGCUCCAAAACAAGGUCCUAAACCAGCAGGGUACAGGAGUUAUCUAGAUUAACUAUUUGAGAUAGGAGGAAGGGUGUCUUCCAGUUCUUAGAUAAUUUGUGCAAAUUAACAUAUUUUGGAUCCAUAAUAAUACAUGUAGCUUUCUAGUGUCUAGCAACAGGAAUUAACACUUGAAGUGUCUCAUUCCAGAUGAAGCAAUCUGGGGGUCUCAUUAUACCCAGACAGCAUGCCCCUUCCUCUGUCUUCUGCUUGCCAUGCAUCCUCAAGCAACAUGCAGGAUGCGAAAGGUUCCUCCUCAGGACACCUGAGAAGUGACUUUCCUUGUUUGCAAGCUUCUUCAUAGCAGGAACCCGUGAAUUUCAAUAUGUUUUAUAAGGAUCUGAAGAGAGAAAUGAAAUCAAGAAUCCAAAAUAAAUAACAUUAUAUUUGCUUUACUGUAUUUUCUGUUUGCAAAAAUAAUUGCUUCCUUCGCUCACCCUCGCUGUUCCUUGUUCCUGCUGUUUCUGGUCUUUCCUUACCCCAGUAGGAAGAGAGGGAAAGAGACUAUCAUCAGGAAAACUGAAAGGAAGAUGCCUCUGUAGCAUGCACAUGCCGCCAGGAAGCAUGAGGUUUAGCCCAGAGGGCUCACAAAUAAAAGGAACUUCCAGACUACGUGUUGGCAUCAAGAUGAGUGACAUGCCCACUGCAGGUAGGUGAAUGACUGGCACUCAGGACAACUCCCUGCAUUUCUCACCUCUCCACUUCUUUGUCUAGAAUGUAUGAAACUAAUCACACAGUUUCCAGUGACUGCUAUUCCUCAAAAUCUAGAAGAAAAAUAUUGGGCUUUUUAAUGCACCAAGGGUCAAAGAAAGAACACUGGAGUUGGAAAGUACUGACAGACAACUAAGUUUAAAAAAGUCAAUGUCCUUAGCAAAACAAGCUCUUAGGGAAAAAAAAAAAAAAAUCUACAACAGGUAUUUAAAAUAACCUACUGGGAAAUCCAGUAACACAUUGUCUCGUUGCAUGUUUAUCAGAUCUUCCCAUUGACUUAAAUGGGAACACUCUGCUUUUAUGCAUGAAAGAUUAUGCAGGCAUAGAGUAUCGGUUCAAAAUAAAGGGAAACAAUCUCUAAACACAGAAGAAGUACGUGGACAAGGGCAAACUGGGUACUGAGAAAAACUUUACAUAUGUCAAGGCAAAGAGGUACCUUUUUUCAAAAACAAAAAGCACUGAACUGAAAUUAAUAGAACUAAGAAUGUACUUACAAAGUAGUAUUUAAAACUGGGAUUAGAAGCAUAAGGACUGAACCAAGGAAUCAAAGACAUAAGACAAUUUAUUGACAUACAGUAAAAGCAAGAAGACUGCACAACAGUUGUCUGGUAGGUUUGAAAUAGUAUUGGGGGAAAAAAAGGAGUGAAUAAAGAGGAAGAAAAACUGCAACAAAGAUAAUGGCUGAUUAUGACCUUGAGGUCUUUAGUCAUGCAAAAGAGUGAACUCAACUUUUCAUAUAUAUGGCCACGUUAACAUUUCUUGAUAGCUGGGUUCCUGAUGAGAGCUAUAUUAAGAAAAAAACAAACAAAAAUCUCUACAACCACUAACCCUCCUGAAGAAAUGCAAGACUAUACACCUCCUUCAGCCUGCAUGUCCUUCAUUCUCCAGUUCUUUUUCUUUCACUCCAGCCAAUGUAUGUAAAUCCAAAAUGGGAAGUAAAACCACCCUACAAGAAGUUAUGGAAUAAGACGUUUCUUCUCUUGGAACAGGAAAACAGCUGGAGGAAAUGUCACUCUGUGACACAAAGUUCUUGCACAGAUCAAUUUUUUUCUGGGUGGAACAAUACUGACCACUCCUCUCAAUGUCCAGAAAUCCAAACAGACUGAGAGGCAGCCUUUAUCUUAAAAAGAACAACUUCUUUUUAGGCCUAGAGCAGGUGGAAACCAUUGAAAAAGGUUUGUACUAACAAAGUGAUUAAAUUGUAUUUUCUGAACCCGGCAGAUUACAUCUCGUUAAUCUCUUCUUCUGCAAGUAAAGGGCAAGAGAGCAGCAGAUAAGAAAACAGAAAGUGCAGAAAUAACUGGAGAAACUAAAAGACAAGACAGGCUGCUCAAGAUUAAAAUCAGCGUUUCCAACCAAAAGAAAAUGCAUUCUUCUAUCUGGAAUGAAAGAGUGGUACUCCUUAAAUAGCCACAGAAAUAGUCCACAUUACAUGCCAAUGAAUUCUAGCAUUUAAUAAAAUGGUUGGAAGGCUACUUGAAAAUAUGUUAACCUGAAUGUCUAAGAAGAGGUUACAGAAUGGGGAGAAAAACAAUACAGCUAACGUAAUGAAAAAUACAUCUUUUUAUAUUGGAGUGGAUCUGCAGGUGAAAUUAUUAUUUACUUGGCCAUUCAAAAGGGCUUUGAUAGUGACUCAAAGAUCAUAAAGAAAACAGAGCAAUUGUGACCAAAAUUUAGGCUCAUGAUUAAAAAUGAGCUAAGUAGCCCAAAGCAAAAUGUAGGGAUAAAAAAGGCACUUAAGAAGAAAAAGAUUAACAGUAAUUGUAUGCAGAAGUUACACUUGCAUCAGCUUUUAACAUUAUUUAGUAGUCUGGGAAAAAUUAAUUGUAAAACAAAGUGGCAAAAUUGACACUUGGAGUGUAUUUGGAUUACUGAAGAAAUUUAACAAAGUUAAACGAGUAUGAAACAACAUGAUAAAUACUUAUUGGUAAUUAUUAAGUAAGUUGCAUAGCAACAUUCUCAGCAAAGGAAAAAGAUCGGGGUGCCAUCACAACAAUUCAACAGUACUGUCAAAAAAAAAGACAAUUUUAACAGCACAUGCAAAAAAGCACAGAAACUAUGCUUCCAGUGGGUACCUGACUGGGAAAUACCUUCAAGAAGAAUGCUGUCUACAGUUCUUUUUACCUUACCUCAUUAAAACCACAGAACAUGAGUGUAAGGGCAGGUGACCAAAACGAUCUGGCUCUCGAGACGAUUGCCAUGUAACAUGACAAAGUGAUGAUGUUAUCAAGCACAUGAGCAACAGGGGACACGACAGAGAUGCACACUUUGAAAGUCAGAACUGUACUUUUUUACGUAUAGUGUUCAACAGGAGAGCACGCAGUAAAAUUAAAUGAGCAGCAUUAAAACUCUGGAAAUAUAUUACCUUACUAAGUGUAGGUAAGCAUGUGAAAAUCAGUGCCACAGUUCUUCAUUAAGGGACAUCAGUGAGACUUUGAAAGAAUACUGUUCUAUGCACAGCCUAUAGAAAUGUAACAUUAAAUAGGAUCGUUUGCUGGAAAUACCCUUGCACAAACCUGUAACAAAGCCAUUGGCCAAGGUAUCUGGCUGGACUAUUUUCUGACAAGGACAGGGUAUUCCAGAAGGAUCAAAUGCUGGUUGUUUUUGCCCUGCAUUUUCUUACCAACCAACCCUUUGUAAGAACGGUCUGGGUAGACUUAGCAUUAGACUGCAGAUCUAAUCCAGUGCAGUAAUUUCUACAUUUAAAUGUUUGCUAUGGUCAAAAACAAUGAUCCCCAAAACCUCUUCCCACCCCUACUACAAUGUGGUAAGAAUGAAAUAAUUUAUCCUCCAAGUUAGCUGCUGUGCCUGAUGCAAUGCUACCAAUGCAUUUCUCAAACUUCACAAAAAUACUUGGAAGCACAUAUUUUUUGCUACCUGCUUUUCCUCUCACCUUAAAUAAUUAGGAAGAACUUACAAGAUUCUGCUUCACAAUACAAAUGCGUUUCCUUAUUUUAUUAUCUUUUUUCCCCAUCCACACAUCGUUAUUUGUAAAACUCAUUUAAUAAUUCUGAGAGAUUCCAAGAUGUGUGUCAGAUGCUGGGAUAUUGCCACUUGUGUGGUGGUUUGCUACACUUACCCUUCAGUCUUGUGGCUAACAAUUCACCCAAAAUGUGAUAAUACCUCACCACAACCCACACGCUGCUGCUCUUCAAAGGAGAACAAGGAUACAUAAUUAUGAGAUGAUGAGCUCAAAUGUAAGACAGGAGAUGAGGGAACAGAUUCUGUAACCACACCUAUGAGUGGUUAAACUACUGAAGAAGUUUCUGCAGCUCCACUUUCACUCACAGCAUCAACAAAAGCCACGCAUUUUCAAAAUACUUAAAUAACAUUUGCUACAGGGGAGGAAUAAACACAGUGAUAAUACGUUGUCCCUGCAGAAGAAAAGAGGUUUAACAUCUAUUAAGAAUGUAAAUAAGUAUUAUCAACAAAUAGACCUUAUAGUCAGUGUAAGCAAGAUAUGCACACUUUUACUAGAAACACUGUCAAGAUCUCACUCCUCAAGAAUUUUUACUUUAAAAUAUUCUAAGUCUCAUUCCAACCUUUUGUGAUCAUGUAGUUUCACUCAUAACAGAAGGAACUGCAGAAGAAAAUAUCUAAGUGUAUCCAUGUCGAUGCAGGGGCUAACAGUGAAGCAUUCUGCACAGAAAUUAAGAACUGGUUACAGAUAGACUUUAGAGUCUACAAGAUCAGUCCCGUGGUGGAUAUUCUCAAUAAAGAAAACAUCAAAGCACUAUCCUUACUAGACUAAAAAUGUUGCAACUAGUUUUUGUGGGGUUUGUCAUGAUUAGUGAGUCAAGAAAUCUGGGGCAAAGCAAGACGCAAUUAAAGAUGCCAUCAAACUCAACAACUGUGAGAACUGACCAUCCUUUCAAAAUAUGCAUUAAUAUGAGAUUAAUGAGUAAGGAUUUAAAAAUAACAGGAUUACAUGCCUACUUGAUUUCUCAUUAUUAAAAAAUAAAAAUAAAAAAUCUCUUUUACCUAGGAGAAGUCUUCCUUCUGUGGGUUGAAGGAUCACAACCCCAAAGCCAGUCCCUGCAUGCACAGCCAACUUCUCUAAGCAGCAGCCACACCCUCCUCUUCCUCAUUUUUUUCCACUGACCAUGAAAUGCGUUCUAAGCCAGGCACUGAAAAAAAAAAGAAAAAAUAGAAAAAAAGAUCAUAAGUACAUUUUUAAUGGACACCAGAUACCACAUGGCUGAUUUAAUUAAGCAGAUUAGAAACAAAUAAGUAUAUUUAUACAAAUAUAUUUUGAUUUUCUGUUUCAUUUCAAACAAAUUUGGUAGGCCUGAUUUGGCUCUAUUCAAAUCACAAGAAACAUCAUUAAGAACAUUCUGUGCUGACAGUAGAAUCAAGCCCUCUUCUCUUUUUAGAAUGUCAUAUUUUACCUAUUCCACUGCUACUGUAAAAACAACAAAUGAGAGGGUUUUCAGAAUAUCCCGGAAUAAGCCUACGGACUUCGUAAUAGAAACUAAAACAGGACAAGCUUUGACAGAUGUUCCAGAGGUACUCUCUUCAAUGAAUUGGAUUACUGUAUCUUCAACAGAAUAAUACUGCAUUAUCACUCAACAUGUACUUACUGUUGUUAUAUUUUACACAAUUUACAUCAUCAAUAAUUUCACAGUACAUAGAACAUUAUAGAAAUCGACUGUUGUUAUAAACAGUUUUGCACACUGUAUCACCUGCUGACUUUAAUUCAUUAUUUAAACGACACUAAUUACACUACAUUUCAUAUUCUAUGGCUAAAUAGAAUAUUGAAUAGAAAUACAGAGUGAUAAGAACACUUUUUUCCAGUACCUCAAAAAAACAAACAAAAAACAACCCAGAACAACAGCCACCACUCUCCCCCUGAAAAGAAAAGUAAGGAAAAAGAAAAGAAAAGGAAAAAGAAACCCAGCAACACCCUUCUUUACAAGUUACUAGUUAUGGGAUUCAACAACAAAGCAAAAAUACAUACGUAGGGGUAAGCAACUUAAUCUCAAUUUUUGCAACAACUGCACAAAGGUACUACUGUUCAGCUCUCAUAAGGGCAGGGAAAUUACCAUUAAAGUUUUUGUUUGUUUUGUUUUUAAUUUAGAGCUAAAUAAUGUGACAGAAAUCUGCAGCUCAAUGCUAUUAUGUUUCUUGAAAGAACAAAUUGAUAUUAAAAUAAAAAUGUUAAGGUUAUAUUAAAUGAAUGCCUGAGGACGACAACAUUUUUGGUAUUACAGUUAUUAUAUAAUAGCAAGUCCAAAAUAAUUUAUAAUCCCACCACUUAACUUCUUAUUUAUUCAUUUAUGACUCCAUCAUCACAGAAGAAUACUCUUACGAACAUACUGUGCACUUUCAGUAUUAGAAGGGCUGUUCACAAAGGCAUUUUGCAUGCUCCUACAUCCUAAUAGGCUGCCAAUAUACAGCUUUGUAAAUCUCAAAGCCUGCACAACACAAGGUUAGAUACAGUACACUGGCUGUAUAUACAUUUGCACAUACAGUAAAAUACAACUAACUUGCAGAAUCAUAUCAACACUGCUGUGUUUAUAGACACGUUCAUUCAUGCAGAAAUCUUUUUCCUGCAUACUGCAGAGUAUUAGGCAAUAUGUGUACCUCUCACCAUAACGGAACACUCUGGUACACAACACUGACUUU